rnacentral:rRNA from 1 species
GGUGAACGCUAGCUACAGGCUUAACACAUGCAAGUCGAGGGGUAACGAGAGGAAAGCUUGCUUUCCUUGUCGACGACCGGCGCACGGGUGAGUAACGCGUAUCCAACCUGCCCCCAACUAGGGAAUAACCUUGCGAAAGUAAGACUAAUACCCUAUAAUUUCCUCAGAUGUCAUCUGACGAGGAAUAAAGAUUUAUCGGUUGUGGAUGGGGAUGCGUCUGAUUAGCUUGUUGGCGGGGUAACGGCCCACCAAGGCAACGAUCAGUAGGGGUUCUGAGAGGAAUGUCCCCCACAUUGGAACUGAGACACGGUCCAAACUCCUACGGGAGGCAGCAGUGAGGAAUAUUGGUCAAUGGGCGGAAGCCUGAACCAGCCAAGUAGCGUGCAGGAUGACGGCCCUAUGGGUUGUAAACUGCUCUUAUACAGGAAUAAAGUUAGCCACGUGUGGUUAUUUGUAGGUACUGUAUGAAUAAGGACCGGCUAAUUCCGUGCCAGCCGCCGCCGUAA